rnacentral:rRNA from 1 species
UCCAGACUCCUACGGGAGGCAGCAGUGGGGAAUAUUGGGCAAUGGGCGCAAGCCUGACCCAGCAACGCCGCGUGAAGGAAGAAGGCUUUCGGGUUGUAAACUUCUUUUAUUCGGGACGAAGAAAGUGACGGUACCGAAUGAAUAAGUCACGGCUAACUACGUGCCAGCAGCCGCGGUAAUACGUAGGUGGCAAGCGUUAUCCGGAUUUAUUGGGUGUAAAGGGCGUGUAGGCGGGAAUGCAAGUCAGAUGUGAAAACUCAGGGCUCAACCCUGAGCCUGCAUUUGAAACUGUUUUUCUUGAGUACUGGAGAGGCAGACGGAAUUCCUAGUGUAGCGGUGAAAUGCGUAGAUAUUAGGAGGAACACCAGUGGCGAAGGCGGUCUGCUGGACAGCAACUGACGCUGAGGCGCGAAAGCGUGGGGAGCAAACAGGAUUAGAUACCCUAGUACUA